GGCCUGGUGGUCUAGUAGUAUGAUUCCUUCUUAGGGCUUGAGCCUUAACGAUUGUUUGCAGUACUUGGAGGAGGUCCCGGGUUCAAUUCCCGGCCAGGCCC